GACCCUAUCAAUAAUAACUUCAGGUUCAUGAACAUUUGCUUUCCUUGCGUAUUCCUCCACAGCAGAGCCUAAAACAUCCUCGACCACCCCAAUAUCCUCUUUACGACAACGCAACAAGACAGCAGGUUCUUUCAGUCUAAGUAAACUCUGCGAUGUACAUAAAAUUUACAGCUGAUUACCGAUUCCUGAUAUAAAUUUCUGUCAGGCAACAUUAAGAUUGCAGGUUUAAAUGUGUAAUUCUGAGGGUUCAGAACUUAAUACAGGCCAGUGAGAUGUGAGAGUACUUCAAUUCUUCUAUCAACUAAACUUAGGAAUGUGGUGCUGUUGUGUGUGAGUAUACCAACUAAGCAUUAAAAACACAGGAUAAGUCUAGUAAUUUGCAGCAUCUACAUCCUUAUGUUUACUCUUUAGCACAAAUUCAUUAUGUGAAGGAGAAUAUCAUAAGAGAUAUGGUAGUAAAAAGUAUGAAAGACGCUAGACUACUAUAGCCACUGCCUUCCACCAUCAUGUUCUAUUUACGGCAUACAUUAUUUAGGUCAGUCAGCGUAGAUCUUCCUCCAAAGCAAAAAUUUAAUCCUCCAAAUGGAACAUACGGCUUUAAAGUGCAUAUAUUAAGAUGACCUAAACGCUAUAUAAUAUUUAAAAUGAUAUAUGGAAUAUCAAAAUAUGUUACACCAAAAGUAAGCUCAAAACAACACCCUUAAGAAUUUUUUACACACUAACCCAUAGGAAAUAAGAAAUAAAGGAUCAACCUACCUGCACUAGAAGAGCUUUCAUGAGUGCAUCAUACUUAUGAUGGUGAAAAAAACUAUGAUGGCCGACAUUCAAAAGCUCCUUUGAUGCUGCCUCCUUCAUGGAAGCAACCAAGUCAUCUUGAGCUUGAAGAACUUUGAUCCGAGAAGCAUUGAGCUGCAUUGAAUACUCACUGCAAUACACACCCAAAAAAGAAAUUAAAAAAAUCAAACCAAAGACAUUGUUUCAUAAUUAGUAGAGCAUAACAGCUGGUAGGUGAUAAAGAAUUCCCCCUAUCCUUCCUAAUCAGAAUAAAAUAAAUGGGACCGUUUGGCUAAACUUAUUUUUCAGAAAUAAGGGCUUAUUUUUGGAGAAAAGUACAUGAAACUCUACUUUUUCUGAAAUAAGCCCUUAUUUCUUUGUCAAAUAACGAAUAUGAAGCACCUUUUUAACAUUUAUAUCCAAAAAAAAUAUGAAAAAAAUGCACUUUUUAAAGAAAAAUAAGGGCUUAUUUUUUCAUAUAAGUGGUUGCCAAAAAGGGCCAAUAUGUGUUUGGGGCCUACAUCCAUACAAAGCAAAUUGAAUUUCAAUGAACAAACUGUGAGACUAUCACUCAUGAUAUAGAGUACCUCUCAUUAAGUGAUUCAAGCAAGAAUAAGAGAGAUCAAGACACUUAAACAGUACUCAUCAAACUCAAAAUCAAUGAUAAUCAUGUGCAUAUAAAACUCCUCAUGCAUUCGUGUAUAUAGAACAAACUAUAAGACUAUCACUCUUGAUAUAAAAUACCUGUUACUUAAGUGAUUGAAGCACAGAAAGAAAGAUCAGGACACUUAAACAGUACUUAUUGAACUUUACAAUCAAUGGUGAUCAUGCGAAUAUACAUAUAUCCUCUACGCAUUUGUUUGUACACAAAAUAAAUUGUAGAUUGUAUUCAGCUCUAGUGAGACAGGUUUCUUAUGUGCACAAAAUUCAAUAACUUGCAAAACCAGUUAAUAGUCAUACAAAAACAUUCACAAUGGUGCUCGCAAUAACUCUGAUGACCAGUAAAAUACUUCCUUAAGCUUCAAUUACUUUAUACUAAAUUACUAAUACUAUACAAAUCUCAAUCUUAUCAAGAGAAAUCCUCUACAAAAUCAAAAUAUCUGCGGGGCCUUUUGGAUCAUGAGAUCUGAAUCGGGUUAAAAGGAAUGGCAAUGAAAUUCUGAUUAAAACUUUGUUGGGCACUCUCAUUCUCAUUCCAUUAACCGCAUUCAAAUUCCAUGAUCUAAAUGACCCCUGAGAUUUGAUUGUCAACAACACGUAGAAUAUACAUUGCUGAUAGAAACAAAAACAUAUGGUGCCAUUAAACAUCAUAACAUACUUAACAAUCAUCUCAACACAAAAAUCGCAGACUAAAAUACAGUCUACAUUGCCUCAAGAAAAUUAAAAAUGGUAAUAAAUAUGAAUGAUAGUAAACAUUGACAAAACUACAAUUUACACAAACCAAACUAAACUAGUAUAAACAAAUACAUACAUCUUUUUACGGACUUCGACUUGCUUCUGCUUGCGCUCGUACUCUUGUUUGAUCUUCUUCUUCUCCGCUUCCACUAUUUGCAACUUCUCAAUAUUGAAUUCCUACACGUAUCAUAAUUCAAAAAUGCACAUGUCAAUCAUAUCUACAGACUCAAUUCAAAAAAGCACAUUUAAAUCAUCUCUCUCUCUCUCUCGCCCCCCCCUCUCCCUAUCUCCCUCCCUCCACACACACACAAAAAUUGUAACUUCUCGGUGUUAAAUUCCAAAAAAAAAAAAAAAAAAAUCACAAUUCAAAAAGAUGUAUAUAUAAAUCCAGAUUUACAGAGUCCUAAUACAGUAACACACACGAAUAGAGUUAUAAUUGAGUAAAUGAGUGUUACUUCUUCAGCAGAAACGGAGAUCUCGUUGGCCUUCUCUUCAGCUUCUUGACGAAUGAAUUGAACCAUCUGCUGGAUCUGCUUGGAGACAUCUGAGUCGUUCAUUUUGGGAUGUCUGCUUCGAUCUCACCGUCGGAUCGUGAAUUUUGAAUCAAAGAGCAG
rnacentral:lncRNA from 1 species